CCGGGGUUGCGGACAGUGUCUGGUGGGUAGUUUGACUGGGGCGGUCUCCUCCCAAAGCGUAACGGAGGAGCACGAAGGUUAGCUAAUCCUGGUCGGACAUCAGGAGGUUAGUGCAAUGGCAUAAGCUAGCUUGACUGCGAGCGUGACGGCGCGAGCAGGUGCGAAAGCAGGUCAUAGUGAUCCGGUGGUUCUGAAUGGAAGGGCCAUCGCUCAACGGAUAAAAGGUACUCCGGGGAUAACAGGCUGAUACCGCCCAAGAGUUCAUAUCGACGGCGGUGUUUGGCACCUCGAUGUCGGCUCAUCACAUCCUGGGGCUGAAGUAGGUCCCAAGGGUAUGGCUGUUCGCCAUUUAAAGUGGUACGCGAGCUGGGUUUAGAACGUCGUGAGACAGUUCGGUCCCUAUCUGCCGUGGGCGCUGGAGAAUUGAGGGGGGCUGCUCCUAGUACGAGAGGACCGGAGUGGACGCAUCACUGGUGUUCGGGUUGUCAUGCCAAUGGCACUGCCCGGUAGCUAAAUGCGGAAGAGAUAAGUGCUGAAAGCAUCUAAGCACGAAACUUGCCCCGAGAUGAGUUCUCCCUGAGACUAUAAGUCUCCUGAAGGAACGUUAAAGACGAUGACGUUGAUAGGCCGGGUGUGUAAGCGCAGCGAUGCGUUGAGCUAACCGGUACUAAUGAACCGUGAGGCUUAACCUUACAACGCCGAAG
rnacentral:rRNA from 1 species